GGAGUUUAGUAUGGCGUUCAUUAUCACUGAACUAGUAUAUAUAUUUGUUUAGGGGCCAGCUGAAGGACGCCUCCAGGUGUAGGAAUUUCUUGCUGCAUUGAAGACCUAUUGGUGACCUUCUGCUGUUUGUUUGUUUUAUGGUCGGGUUGUUGUCUCUUUGACACAUUCCCCAUUUCCAUUCUCAAUUUUAAUCUUCAGAAAAUCGAUUUGUAAAUUCAAAAUUUGAAAUGUC
rnacentral:lncRNA from 1 species